rnacentral:rRNA from 1 species
UACGGAGGAUGCGAGCGUUAUCCGGAUUUAUUGGGUUUAAAGGGUGCGUAGGCGGGCUUUUAAGUCAGCGGUAAAAAUUCGGGGCUCAACCCCGUCCGGCCGUUGAAACUGGGGGCCUUGAGUGGGCGAGAAGAAGGCGGAAUGCGUAGUGUAGCGGUGAAAUGCAUAGAUAUCACGCAGAACCCCGAUUGCGAAGGCAGCCUUCCGGCGCCCUACUGACGCUGAGGCACGAAAGUGCGGGGAUCGAACAGG